rnacentral:rRNA from 1 species
CAAUAGCGUAUAUUUAAGUUGUUGCAGUUAAAAAGCUCGUAGUUGGAUUUCGGGUGGGACGCAGCGGUCUCGCAUUGCGUUUGUACUGCUGCAGCCCUCCUUCUUGCCGGGGGCGGCCUCUCGGACUUCACUGUCUGGGGGUCAGAAUCGGCGAUGUUACUUUGAGUAAAUUAGAGUGUUCAAAGCAAGCUUACGCUCUGAAUAUAAUAGCAUGGGAUACCACGACAGGACUCUGGCCUAUCGUGUUGGUCUAUAGGACCAGAGUAAUGAUUAAGAGGGACAGUCGGGGGCAUUCGUAUUCCGUUGUCAGAGGUGAAAUUCUUGGAUUUACGGAAGACGAACAUCUGCGAAAGCAUUUGCCAAGGAUGUUUUCAUUGA